rnacentral:rRNA from 1 species
AUGAUGGAGCUGCGCAAGUACUGGGGCGUGGGGGGCCGGCGGUGCGGGGCGUGCGAGGGGGCGGCGCCGGCGGCGGUGCACUGCCGGGACUGCGCCGGGUACCUGUGCACGGGGUGCGACGCGCGCCCGGCGCACGCGCGGGCGGGCCACGAGCGCGUCUGGGUGUGCGAGGUCUGCGAGGUCAGCCCAGCCGCGGUCACCUGCAAGGCCGACGCCGCCGUGCUCUGCGCCGCGUGCGACGCCGAAAUCCACCACGCCAACCCGCUCGCCGAGCGCCACGUGCGCGUGCCCAUCGCGCCCAUCGGCUCCCCCGAGGCCGCCGCGGUGGCGGCCGAGGCCAUGAUGUUCUGCGUCGCCGGUGACGGCGAGGCGCGGGCGGAUCAGGACGAGGUGCCCGAGCAGCUGCACCAGCACGGGGGGAUGCUGAACCUCAACGUGGAGGCCGGCAAGGAGGGCGGGAAGAUGGACUACCUCUUCUCCGACCUCGUCGACCCCUACCUCGCCGUCGACUUUACGCGCUUCGCCCACGCUGAUAGCGUCGUGCCCAGCGGCGUCGCGACCGUGGCGGUACCCGCCGUCGUGGACCUGGACUUCGCCUGCGGGAUCGGCGCCAAGCCGCCGCAGACCUACAGCUCCUCAUACACGGCCAACGCCUCCGGCGCGCACAGCGGCUCUUCAUCGGAGGUCGGCGUGGUGCCGGAGGCCAUCUGCGGCGGCGCGGGCAGCUUCGAGAUCGACUUCACCCGGCCCAAGCCGCAGGCGUACAUGCCCGCGUACACCGCGGCGCCGCCGAGCCACGGCGUGACUAUGCAGCAGGCUUCGCCGGUGGACAUGGGGUACUUGACUGUGCCGGAGCGUCCGGUGGCGGUGACCGGGGAGGGCAGGGUGGCGAGGCUGAUGCGGUACCGGGAGAAGAGGAAGAACCGCCGGUUCGAGAAGACCAUCCGGUACGCGUCCAGGAAGGCCUACGCCGAGUCGCGGCCGCGCGUCAAGGGCCGCUUCGCCAAGCGCACCGACCAGGACGCCGACGGCGAGGACUUGGACGCGGAGGCCCAUGCCGUGCCGUCUUCCACCUCCUACUUGCUCGACUUUGGCUACGGCGUCGUGCCGUCCUUCUGA